AUUGUUUUUGGUUUCUUUUAUUUUUAUACAAUCUAUAUAAUUUUUUUUUUAUCAUCAAACACAUGAGAACCUUCAAUUUCACUCAAGAACAAUCAGAUUAUAAAUAUUAAUUUCAAUAUUGUAUAUAAGAUUUGUACACUACUUAGUACAAUAACACGGAGCAUGAGGCAAUAGUGUGUGUGUGUGUGUAAGAACAUUCAAUCAAGAGUGUGACACAAAGCCCAACUGGAAAAAAAUGAAUGCUGAGCUCAGGUUGGGUAGAUAAUGGAAGACAGUUUCAAGAUUAACUAGCUAGCCUAAUGAUUAAAAGUGCCUACACACAGUAUCAAGGAUGCACUGAAUAACCAUGGUAACACCCUUAGAGCAUAAGAAACUGAAAUGAAUAUUACAGCGCAAGGAAAGUAGUUGCGGUGUGGUCAAGCAUUCAGCCACUUGAAUGUCUAGGUUCACAUUCUGAACUAAAAAUAAAGACGUGAUGUCACGGACACACACCACUCGGUCAGUUAAAUUUCUAGCUUCAAAUUUUUAACAAGUUUUAAGCCUUGAUGUUACUGAGACAUACCACUCUGCCUGCUAACUAAUCUACUUACCAGUUAGAGAAUGUGACAGUCAUUGUACUAGCCUUACCAAACAUUCAUAAAUAUUUACAGCUCACCACCAAUGUCUAACAGCUACUUAAGUUUGGAUUGCAACAAAGUAUUUAAAAAAAAAAAAUUAAAAAAAA